rnacentral:rRNA from 1 species
GACGUAGGGCGCGAGCGUUGUCCGGAUUUAUUGGGCGUAAAGAGCGUGUAGGCGGCCAGGUAGGUCCGUUGUGAAAACUCGAGGCUCAACCUCGAGACGCCGAUGGAAACCAUCUGGCUAGAGUCCGGAAGAGGAGAGUGGAAUUCCCGGUGUAGCGGUGAAAUGCGCAGAUAUCGGGAAGAACACCCGUGGCUAAGGCGGCUCUCUAGUACGGUACUGACGCUGAGACGCGAAAGCGUGGGGAGCGAACAGG